rnacentral:rRNA from 1 species
CAGUAGCCACGGUAAAACGUAGGGUGCAAGCGUUAAUCGGAAUUACUGGGCGUAAAGCGUGCGCAGGCGGUUUGUUAAGACAGAUGUGAAAUCCCCGGGCUCAACCUGGGAACUGCACUUGUGACUGGCAAGCUAGAGUGUGGCAGAGGGGGGUGGAAUUCCGCGUGUAGCAGUGAAAUGCGUAGAUAUGCGGAGGAACACCGAUGGCGAAGGCAGCCCCCUGGGCCAACACUGACGCUCAUGCACGAAAGCGUGGGGAGCAAACAGGAUUAGAUACCCGUGUAGUCCCUGUCUCUUAUAC